GACCGAGUGUGUUCUGGGUAGAAAUGUGUGUGUGUUUGGGCCGGCAGCUCAGGAGGUCCUGUAAACACAGCCUGAAGCGCUUUAUUUGAUUUCUACCAAAUCAGGGAGGGACACAAUCUCCUAACCCAACACAUGGAAAUGAAGACCUGGGGAUAAGCURAGUUCAUCCACCUGUUUAUCCUGCUACCCCCUACUGCCCCGGAGAUUCACCUGAGCAGGCACCUAUAGACUCAGAGUCGGAGAAGAGCCCAGAGGGUCAGCCAAUCAAAACGUGUCUACCAAACAAGACCUUGAGAAUGCUGCUAGGACUACCGAUGGAAGUGACAUCACAAUCACCUGCCAGGGGCCAUGGAGCCAUCUCACCUGCCUUGACACAAAACCUGCCCUAACCUUAACUGCUAAACAGCACACUUUCCCAGGGUGCUCUAGGGGAGGAGGGGUAUGGGGGCAAGGAGAGGGGAGAGAGGUGAGGAGUGACAGCUUCUUUAAUAUCCGGCUGUGUUUCACUGUGUUUUCAAACACAGCUGGGGCUGAAAAUAUGACCCAGGGGAUUCCCCUGAAGUGAGGCUCCGCCCACAUCACCAGUGAUUGACAUGUGAGAACAAAGCCACUGUCAACAGGAAAGUGUUCAUGUCAGGGAAAAUACACACAGUAUCCUUCUGGGAAGGAAGAUCGUAGACCUAGAUCAUCCAAAAACCAUUAGACAUCAUUUUGGUAUCAUGGUAUCUUUGAAAUCUGCUUCAAUCUGAAUCUAUUUCUUAUCUAUGAAAAUAUAAGUUGGAAUCACAUUUUAGGCAGAACUUGUAGAUUCACAUAUCGUCCAUAACACAUCAAGUAAAUGUAUGACAAUGUAUAACUUCUA